rnacentral:rRNA from 1 species
AUUGAACGCUGGCGGCAGGCCUAACACAUGCAAGUCGAGCGGAGCGGCGGACGGGUGAGUAAUGCCUAGGAAUCUGCCUGGUAGUGGGGGAUAACGUCCGGAAACGGGCGCUAAUACCGCAUCCCAUCAGAUGUGCCCAGAUGGGAUUAGCGAGUGGGUGGGGUAACGGCUCACCUAGGCGACGAUCCCUAGCUGGUCUGAGAGGAUGACCAGCCACACUGGAACUGAGACACGGUCCAGACUCCUACGGGAGGCGGCAGUGGGGAUGAUUGCACAAUGGGCGCAGGCCUGAUGCAGCCAUGCCGCGUGUGUGAAGAAGGCCUUCGGGUUGUAAAGCACUUUCGGCGGGGAGGCGUUACCCGCAGAAGAAGCACCGGCUAACUCCGUGCCAGCAGCCGCGGUAAUAC